rnacentral:rRNA from 1 species
CAGCACCUCAAGUGGUCAGGAUGAUUAUUGGGCCUAAAGCAUCCGUAGCCUGCUUUGUUAGUUUUCGGUUAAAUCCAUACGCUCAACGUAUGGGCUGCCGGGAAUACUGCAAAGCUAGGGAGUGGGAGAGGUAGACGGUACUCGGUAGGAAGGGGUAAAAUCCUUUGAUCUAUUGAUGACCACCUGUAGCGAAGGCGGUCUACCAGAACACGUCCGACGGUGAGGGAUGAAAGCUGGGGGAGCAAACCGGAUUAGAGACCCGCGUAGUCC